rnacentral:rRNA from 2 species
GGAAAGAUGAAAAGAACUUUGAAAAGAGGGUUAAACAGUACGUGAAAUUGUUGAAAGGGAAACGAUUGAAGUCAGUCAUACCAACGGGAAAUCAACCUUUUGAGCUUUGUCUCGUGGGUUCGAAGAGUUUUAAACGCCUUCGGGUUCGCGAGAUUGGGAUCUUCUGGUGUACUUUCUCGUACGGUUAGUCAACAUCGGUUUUGAAUGUCAUAAAAUGACUGGAGGAAUGUAGCUUCGAUCUCGUAUCGAAGUGUUAUAGCCUUUGGUAGAUGUGAUGUUUGAGACCGAGGACUGCAACGGAUACCCUUCAUGGGCUAUUCGUCUGAUCUCUGAUACGUUGCCUUGACGUUGAAAGCUUGCUUACGAUGUUAGGGUAUUACGAUCAAAAGGUUAGAACGGAUUAAAUUCGUUAAGGAUGUUGACGUAAUGACUUUAAACGACCCGUCUUGAAACACGGACCA